rnacentral:other from 1 species
GACUCUCUACCCUGCAUGUGUGGUCAGAACGCCCGAGCGGAAUAAUUUUUUUACGGGAUCGAUUCAGGGGCGUUGUGAGCCAGCCCACCUCGAGUGGGACGCCUGAUAUGCCUACAAGAGAUUCCACCUUUUUGGGACUCGCUGGAGGCCCAAUGACCCACGGCAGGCGUGGAGAGUUU